rnacentral:sRNA from 1 species
AUGUGUCUGGAAAGUUUACUAACGUAAAACAUCUCAUCCCUUUUCAGUCCUGCCAGUUGAAUAAAGGGUUACCCUUCAUGGGACUGACUUGGCAGGGGGUCAUUCGAACAGUUCCUAGCAUUUAUUAUUACUUUUCUCUCUUCAGCGCCUCUGUUUGAAUGGAAGCACAGGGCAAGAGGUGAUCAUCAAUUCUGGCCUGGAGACGGUAGAAGCUUUGGCUUUUGAACCUCUCAGCCAGCUGCUUUACUGGGUAGAUGCGGGCUUCAAAAAGAUUGAGGUAGCUAAUCCAGAUGGCGACUUCCGACUCACAAUCGUCAAUUCCUCUGUGCUCGAUCGUCCCAGGGCUCUGGUCCUCGUGCCCCAAGAGGGGGUGAUGUUCUGGACAGACUGGGGAGACCUGAAGCCUGGGAUUUAUCGGAGCAAUAUGGAUGGUUCUGCUGCCUAUCGCCUGGUGUCAGAGGAUGUGAAGUGGCCCAAUGGCAUCUCUGUGGACGACCAGUGGAUUUACUGGACGGAUGCCUACCUGGACUGCAUAGAGCGGAUCACGUUCAGUGGCCAGCAGCGCUCCGUCAUUCUGGACAACCUCCCGCACCCCUAUGCCAUUGCUGUCUUUAAG